AGAGUUUGAUCCUGGCUCAGGACGAACGCUGGCGGCGUGCCUAAUACAUGCAAGUAGAACGCUGAAGUCUGGUGCUUGCACUAGACGGAUGAGUUGCGAACGGGUGAGUAACGCGUAGGUAACCUGGCCUCAUAGCGGGGGGAUAACUAUUGGAAACGAUAGCUAAUACCGCAUAACAGUAUUUACCGCAUGGUAGAUAUUUGAAAGGAGCAAUUGCUUCACUAUGAGAUGGACCUGCGUUGUAUUAGCUAGUUGGUGAGGUAACGGCUCACCAAGGCUUCGAUACAUAGCCGACCUGAGAGGGUGAUCGGCCACACUGGGACUGAGACACGGCCCAGACUCCUACGGGAGGCAGCAGUAGGGAAUCUUCGGCAAUGGGGGCAACCCUGACCGAGCAACGCCGCGUGAGUGAAGAAGGUUUUCGGAUCGUAAAGCUCUGUUGUAAGAGAAGAACUGUGAGAAGAGUGGAAAGUUUCUCACUUGACGGUAUCUUACCAGAAAGGGACGGCUAACUACGUGCCAGCAGCCGCGGUAAUACGUAGGUCCCGAGCGUUGUCCGGAUUUAUUGGGCGUAAAGCGAGCGCAGGCGGUUUGAUAAGUCUGAAGUAAAAGGCUGUGGCUUAACCAUAGUACGCUUUGGAAACUGUCAAACUUGAGUGCAGAAGGGGAGAGUGGAAUUCCAUGUGUAGCGGUGAAAUGCGUAGAUAUAUGGAGGAACACCGGUGGCGAAAGCGGCUCUCUGGUCUGUAACUGACGCUGAGGCUCGAAAGCGUGGGGAGCGAACAGGAUUAGAUACCCUGGUAGUCCACGCCGUAAACGAUGAGUGCUAGGUGUUGGGUCCUUUCCGGGACUCAGUGCCGCAGCUAACGCAUUAAGCACUCCGCCUGGGGAGUACGACCGCAAGGUUGAAACUCAAAGGAAUUGACGGGGGCCCGCACAAGCGGUGGAGCAUGUGGUUUAAUUCGAAGCAACGCGAAGAACCUUACCAGGUCUUGACAUCCCGAUGACCGCCCUAGAGAUAGGGUUUCUCUUCGGAGCAUCGGUGACAGGUGGUGCAUGGUUGUCGUCAGCUCGUGUCGUGAGAUGUUGGGUUAAGUCCCGCAACGAGCGCAACCCCUAUUGUUAGUUGCCAUCAUUCAGUUGGGCACUCUAGCGAGACUGCCGGUAAUAAACCGGAGGAAGGUGGGGAUGACGUCAAAUCAUCAUGCCCCUUAUGACCUGGGCUACACACGUGCUACAAUGGCUGGUACAACGAGUCGCAAGUCGGUGACGGCAAGCUAAUCUCUUAAAGCCAGUCUCAGUUCGGAUUGUAGGCUGCAACUCGCCUACAUGAAGUCGGAAUCGCUAGUAAUCGCGGAUCAGCACGCCGCGGUGAAUACGUUCCCGGGCCUUGUACACACCGCCCGUCACACCACGAGAGUUUGUAACACCCGAAGUCGGUGAGGUAACCUUUUAGGAGCCAGCCGCCUAAGGUGGGAUAGAUGAUUGGGGUGAAGUCGUAACAAGGUAGCCGUAUCGGAAGGUGCGGCUGGAUCACCU
rnacentral:rRNA from 1 species